AGGCUGGCGGCGGACGAGUCUGUCGCCAACCGGGUCAGGUCCGGAAGGAAGCAGCCCUAACGAUUUUGGAUUCGGGUCGUUCGCCAGUCUCUU
rnacentral:SRP_RNA from 1 species